rnacentral:rRNA from 1 species
CCCCUAGUACUGCGAGUGAAGCGGGAAGAGCUCAAAUUUUGAAUCUGGCGGUCUUUGGCCGUCCGAGUUGUAAUCUAGAGAAGCGUCUUCCGCGCUGGUGCCGUGUACAAGUCUCCUGGAAGGGAGCGUCAUAGAGGGUGAGAAUCCCGUCUUUGACACGGACCGCCAGUGCUAUGUGAUGCGCUCUCGACGAGUCGAGUUGUUUGGGAAUGCAGCUCAAAAUGGGUGGUAAAUUCCAUCUAAAGCUAAAUACAGGCGAGAGACCGAUAGCGAACAAGUACCGUGAGGGAAAGAUGAAAAGAACUUUGGAAAGAGAGUUAAACAGUACGUGAAAUUGCUGAAAGGGAAACGCUUGAUGUCAGUCGCGUCUGCCGGGGAUCAACCUUGCCUUUUCGCUCGGUGUAUUUCCUGGUCGACGGGUCAGCAUCGGUCUCGAUCGCCGUACAAGGGCGAAAGGAACGUGGCACUCUUCGGAGUGUGUUAUAGCCUUUCGUCGUAUGCAGCGUUUGGAACUGAGGAACUCAGCAUGGCCUUCACGGUCUGUGCUUAGGAUGCUGGCAUAAUGGCCUUAAGCGACCCGUCUUGAAACACGGACCAAGGAGUCUAACAUGCCUGCGAGUGUUUGGGUGGCAAACUCGGGCGCGCAACGAAAGUGAAAGUC